rnacentral:snRNA from 1 species
AAACACGACUGGACAAAAAUUGUCAAGGGGAACCUUUACCUUUACCUUUGUUCAUUGUAUUUUGGGUGUGCUGCUGAUCCCUAUGAUUUUUCCCAAAUGUGGGGAAUUCAUCUGCAUAAUUUUUGUUACUGGGGGAUUGCAUUUAUGACUUCCCUGU